GGGGCCGCGACGCGUCUCUCCAGCCCGGGAUCCGGGGAGCUGGGCUGUCCCCAGACCGACGGGACAGCGGCAUCUCCUCCACCUGAAAAGGAAAGAGGACCAGUUUGCAGGACUCCGAACUGGGCCCGCGAGAUCUCCACCUGCGCAAAACGAAAGGGCGGAUUCUCCUUGGACUCACGAGGCAACCGCUCCCCGGGGUGAGAACGGGGGACUCAUUCCUCCGGCACUGGGAGAAGACGAUUCUUUAGGAGGAGGACAGGGAAGCGAAUGCUACCCAGAGCCACCAAAAUGCCUGGACCUGGGCAGCUAACAGUGGGAUGAAUCUGCUUUAGAGACACCAGACUGCCAGCUAGAGAAUUGAAAUAACCUGAUUCUUAUCUAUUUUUCCAUCCAGAGAGGGCACACCAAGGCUAGGCCUCAUUUUUUUUUUCUUUAAACAUUUUUGUGUUGACAAAUAAUGUUUUAUAAAGGCCUCACUAUCUGCCAAA
ensembl:lncRNA LNCTAM34A long non coding transcriptional activator of miR34a